GAUGGCGGAAUCCCAAGUUACAGGGAUGGAUUUUGGGGAUUGGAUUGGGGAGCUUUGAAAUUGAAAGACAAAAAAAUCCCACUGGAUAAGCGAGCGCGGCAACAUGGAGCGGCGUUCGAGUGACUUCGAAGCUGAACCCAAGCAUCCCUCAGACUCAGAGAAAGCCUUGAGUUGGUGGUGAUCUGUCGUCUCUAUCGUCACAAAUCGACGGCGGAGGUUCCAAAAUGUUGCAGAUCUCGUCAAACGCUCCGAGUCCAAGAAGAAGAAGCUCAAAAUCCAGUCACCUCCUCAUGCUGAGAAGCAAAACUGAGAUAAGAGACAUCCUACGCCUACAUUAAUAAGAGCCAAAAAUGACUUGCCAUGCAA